UACGAAGGGGGCUAGCGUUGUUCGGAAUUACUGGGCGUAAAGCGUACGUAGGCGGAACGUUAAGUCAGGGGUGAAAUCCCGAGGCUCAACCUCGGAACUGCCUUUGAUACUGGCGCUCUUGAGCCCGGGAGAGGUGAGUGGAACUCCUAGUGUAGAGGUGAAAUUCGUAGAUAUUGGGAAGAACACCUGAGGCGAAGGCGGGUUGCUGGGCCGACACUGACGCUGAGGCGCGAAAGCCAGGGGAGCGAACGGG
rnacentral:rRNA from 1 species